rnacentral:rRNA from 1 species
GACGAACCGAGCGAACGUUAUUCGGAAUCACUGGGCUUAAAGGGCGCGUAGGCGGGCCGUCAAGUCGAGGGUGAAAUCCCCCAGCUCAACUGGGGAAGUGCCUCCGAUACUGGCGGCCUCGAGGGGGAUAGGGGCAUGCGGAACUUCCGGUGGAGCGGUGAAAUGCGUAGAUAUCGGAAGGAGCACCGGUGGCGAAAGCGGCGUGCUGGAUCCCUUCUGACGCUGAGGCGCGAAAGCCAGGGGAGCGAACGGG